rnacentral:lncRNA from 1 species
GUCAAGGUUUUGCUAAUUUGUAAUACAGCGACUCAUUCUUCUCCAACUCUUGGAGUGGUCAAUCCCAUCUCGAUCACACUCUGACUUCGCAAGUACUUGACUAUGCCCAGAAGCCUUCCGUCCCUGAAUUAGAAAUUCAGUUAGUCCAGUACCAAAGCACAGUGAGUUGCUUGCAAGUCACUGAGACAAUCUCAAGUCUAAGGGACACUUAUACCUAUAUCCCAUCAGAGACAUUCUCGACAGCAGAAUGCUCUGGAGUUGGUCACGUUCAAUGAUGAUGUACCAGUACAUCUCACCUGUAUGCCAUACCAGUGUCUC